rnacentral:ncRNA from 2 species
GAAGGAGCGUCCUGAAGAGAAGGAACGGCAUGUGUGAAGAUCCUCAAGCGAAGCAGAGGGAGUGUGUUUCCUUCUCGCCUUAGUUUGACCAAAUCUCACGACGCCUGGACUAUUCGGGCCACAGGCUGCCCAUCCUGAGUUAAGCUAAACUGACCAGGUGUAUGGAGACCAGGACAUGCAUGAGGUUGUGCGAAAGCAUUGCAUGGACUAUCUGAUGAAGAAUGCCGACUACUUCUCCAACUAUGUCACAGAGGACUUUACCACCUACAUUAACAGGAAGCGGAAAAACAAUUGCCAUGGCAACCACAUUGAGAUGCAGGCCAUGGCAGAGAUGUACAACCGUCCUGUGGAGGUGUACCAGUACAGCACAGAACCCAUCAACACAUUCCAUGGGAUACAUCA